CCAAUAGCGUAUAUUAAAGUUGUUGCAGUUAAAAAGCUCGUAGUUGAAUUUCAGGCCUGGCUGGACGGUCCGCCCUUCGGGUGAGUACUGUCUGUGGUCGGGUCCUACCUUCUGGCGAAGCGUCAUGGCCUUAACCGGCCGUGGCGGGGAACCAGGACUUUUACUGUGAAAAAAUUAGAGUGUUCAAAGCAGGCAAUCGCUUGGAUACAUUAGCAUGGAAUAAUGGGAUAGGACAAUGGUUCUAUUUGUUGGUUUCUAGGACCGUUGUAAUGAUUAAUAGGGAUAGUUGGGGGCAUUAGUAUUCAAUUGUCAGAGGUGAAAUUCUUGGAUUUAUUGAAGACUGACUACUGCGAAAGCAUUUGCCAAGGAUGUUUUCAUUAAUCAAGAACGAAAGUUAGGGGAUCGAAGACGAUCAGAUACCGUCGUAGUCUUAACCAUAAACUAUGCCGACUAGGAAUCGGGCGAUGUUGAAAAAAUGACGCGCUCGGCACCUCAUG
rnacentral:rRNA from 1 species